rnacentral:rRNA from 1 species
UUUGAGAGGAGUUGCUCCUAGUACGAGAGGACCGGAGUGAACGAACCUCUGGUGUUCGGGUUGUCACGCCAGUGGCAUUGCCCGGUAGCUAUGUUCGGAAAGGAUAACCGCUGAAAGCAACUAAGUGGGAAGCCUACCUCAAGAUNAGAUAUCCCUGAACCUUCGGGUUCCUGAAGAGCCGUUCAAGACUAGGACGUUGAUAGGCAGGGUGUGUAAGUGCUGUNAGGCAUUGAGCUAACCUGUACUAAUUGCUCGUGAGGCUUAACUU